UACGUAGGGGGCAAGCGUUGUCCGGAUUUAUUGGGCGUAAAGCGCUCGCAGGUGGUUCGAUGCGUCGUGCGUGAAAGACCCCCGGCUCAACUGGGGAGUGUCGUGCGAUACGGUCGGACUGGAGGCCAGUAGGGGGAUGCGGAAUUCCGGGUGUAGUGGUGGAAUGCGUAGAGAUCCGGAGGAACACCAGCGGCGAAGGCGGACAUCCGUGGACUGGUCCUGGACACUCAUGACGCGAAAGCGAUGGGGAAGGCGUAGGACCGGCGUUGGAAGAUACCCUUCGUAUUCCAAGAUCCCAAUGGA
rnacentral:rRNA from 1 species